GUCCUAAAGACGAAGAUGUUGAGUCUGACAAAUCAGUGUCUGAGGUGAAUGAUGAGGAUGAUGAUGAAGAAGGCAGCGGAGACGUAAGUUGCAAUGUUUCCGUUAAUUGUUGCUGUUGUUGAUGUUGGUUGCUAUUGUUUGACUUAAUGAAUUGUUUCUUAUUUUAAUGCAGGAAGAAGAUGAUGAGUAGGAAGGUCCGUGGUGGAUAGCAUAAUCAAUGUAGGCUGUGAUAGUGUUUGAUCAAAACCUUAUGUUAAUGCUUUCGAUGUUUCCAUGUUAUUCUUUUAGAUGCGCAUGCCAUCUAAGGGAGAAAUGUACCUCUGAAUCCUGUUGGUUCCUUUUGACCUUCAGAAAUUAAUAGUUGUAGAUGGGAUAAUCUGCUUCUAUAUGUACUUUUUGAUUUAAAGUUGAAUGGCU
rnacentral:lncRNA from 1 species